rnacentral:rRNA from 1 species
UGGGGAAUCUUCCGCAAUGGACGAAAGUCUGACGGAGCAACGCCGCGUGAGUGAAGACGGCCUUCGGGUUGUAAAGCUCUGUGAUCCGGGACGAAAGAGCCUGAGGUAAAUAGCCUAAGGAAGUGACGGUACCGGAAAAGCAAGCCACGGCUAACUACGUGCCAGCAGCCGCGGUAAUACGUAGGUGGCAAGCGUUGUCCGGAAUUAUUGGGCGUAAAGCGCGCGCAGGCGGCUUACUAAGUCCAUCUUAAAAGUGCGGGGCUUAACCCCGUGAUGGGAUGGAAACUGGAAAGCUGGAGUAUCGGAGAGGAAAGUGGAUUUCCUAGUGUAGCGGUGAAAUGCGUAGAGAUUAGGAAGAACACCGGUGGCGAAGGCGACUUUCUGGACGAAAACUGACGCUGAGGCGCGAAAGCGUGGGGAGCAAACAGG